rnacentral:rRNA from 1 species
UACGAAGGGUGCAAGCGUUAAUCGGAAUUACUGGGCGUAAAGGGUGCGUAGGCGGUUAUUUAAGUCUGCCGUGAAAUCCCCGGGCUCAACCUGGGAAUGGCGGUGGAUACUGGAUAGCUAGAGUGUGUCAGAGGAUGGUGGAAUUCCCGGUGUAGCGGUGAAAUGCGUAGAGAUCGGGAGGAACAUCAGUGGCGAAGGCGGCCAUCUGGGACAACACUGACGCUCAGGCACGAAAGCGUGGGGAGCAAACAGG